ensembl:lncRNA
GCCAAACGUAAAUCAGACAGACUGAGUGUUUCUGCAGACUGUUCUCUGGUUAUAAAGAAGGUCACAGAUCAGGAUGUUGGUCGUUACACCUGCAGACAGUUCAAAACAAGAGGAGGAUCACAAGAAGGUCCAGACUUUAUUAUUGAUCUGUCUGUUAUUAACAGUGAAGAUGUGAAAACAACUAAAUCGACAACAGUGAAGUCCACCACAAAAACAUCAUCAACAACGUCAGAAGGGACAUCAAAUAAUCCAUCAGUAGUUCAGUCAUGGUUUAUCAUCGUUCCUGUGGGUUUAGCAGCACUGUUAGUUGUUGUGGUGAUCAUCAUAUGGAAGAAAACUAAAGAAAACAAAACCCAACAGAGUGACAACACUGCUGAAGCCGAUGAUGAAGUUUCCUACGCCUCCAUCAGCUUCACAAAGAAAACCAAGAGUAAAGACCGGCCUCGCGUUGAUGAUGAUGGUGAGACUAUGACCUACAGCACUGUGAAGACUUUCUCUCCACCUGCUGGAGUUUCCACUGAUUCCAGCGACCUCUAUUCCACCAUCAACAAACCAAAGACAUAGUAUGUUGGUCAUGAAAGGCUGCAUGUUGUUUUUCUUGAUGCUGCAUCAAUGUUUCAAUUGUAAAUUUCUUUACAUUUUUCAAAUUAAAAUGUAAUAUUUGUGUGUAAUAUAUAGGUAAGCACUUUUUUGAAAGCUUAACUCAAGUCAGUACAGACAAGGUAGUUUAUUUAGCUUCUGAAUUAAGUCAUGUGAGAUGUUUUUAAGUAAACAACUUACAUGUUGUUUUCUUAAGCACAUUAGUAGAUCUAAAUCUUUCCAUUCCUUAAUUUUAAAUUUUUUUUAAUGCCUUAAACAUAUUCUCAUCAUCAUCUAUGACAGUAUUACAUUACACACCAAGCACGAUAGGUUGUUGCGAAAA